CAAAAAUCCACAAGAUUAUCCACUUGGUCUCUCUGCGACAAGAUAUGACUACGCUUGUAUGCUGUGUCCGCUGGCAAUACCAGACGAGGGUUUCAGCUUUUUCCAAGUUUCUUUUCACCUUGGAAUGUUCCGUACUUAUCUUCAAUGCCGGGAGCAUCUUUUUGGCACAUUCCUCCAAAUGUCAUUCUGGUGUGCUUCUCAAAUCCAGAUUACCACAGCACGCUGGAGUUGCUGAUGACAUUCGGGGAUGAUAUCAGUUGUGUUCUACUUGAAAUAAUGAGUUAGUAAGAUAUUCACACUGCAAAUUUGUAA